rnacentral:rRNA from 1 species
UAAAGCGAUUCAGCGGGUUACGAUUGACGGAGCGAAGCGACGUCAAAGCGUAUACAAAGUCGAGUCGGUUUAAGGAUACGUUCGUUGGGUAGGGGAGCGUUCUGUAAGCCUGUGAAGGUGGCCUGUGAGGGUUGCUGGAGGUAUCAGAAGUGCGAAUGCUGACAUAAGUAACGAUAAAGCGGGUGAAAAGCCCGCUCGCCGGAAGACCAAGGGUUCCUGUCCAACGUUAAUCGGGGCAGGGUGAGUCGACCCCUAAGGCGAGGCCGAAAGGCGUAGUCGAUGGGAAACGGGUUAAUAUUCCCGUACUUGGUGUUACUGCGAAGGGGGGACGGAGAAGGCUAUGUUGGCCGGGCGACGGUUGUCCCGGUUUAAGCGUGUAGGUGUGUGUUCCAGGUAAAUCCGGUUCACUUUAACACUGAGGCGUGACGACGAGGCACUACGGUGCUGAAGCAACAAAUGCCCUGCUUCCAGGAAAAGCCUCUAAGCAUCAGGUAACAUCAAAUCGUACCCCAAACCGACACAGGUGGUCAGGUAGAGAAUACCAAGGCGCUUGAGAGAACUCGGGUGAAGGAACUAGGCAAAAUGGUGCCGUAACUUCGGGAGAAGGCACGCUGACACGUAGGUGAAGUGAUUUACUCACGGAGCUGAAGUCAGUCGAAGAUACCAGCUGGCUGCAACUGUUUAUUAAAAACACAGCACUGUGCAAACACGAAAGUGGACGUAUACGGUGUGACGCCUGCCCGGUGCCGGAAGGUUAAUUGAUGGGGUCAGCGCAAGCGAAGCUCCUGAUCGAAGCCCCGGUAAACGGCGGCCGUAACUAUAACGGUCCUAAGGUAGCGAAAUUCCUUGUCGGGUAAGUUCCGACCUGCACGAAUGGCGUAAUGAUGGCCAGGCUGUCUCCACCCGAGACUCAGUGAAAUUGAACUCGCUGUGAAGAUGCAGUGUACCCGCGGCAAGACGGAAAGACCCCGUGAACCUUUACUAUAGCUUGACACUGAACAUUGAGCCUUGAUGUGUAGGAUAGGUGGGAGGCUUUGAAGUGUGGACGCCAGUCUGCAUGGAGCCGACCUUGAAAUACCACCCUUUAAUGUUUGAUGUUCUAACGUGGACCCGUAAUCCGGGUUGCGGACAGUGUCUGGUGGGUAGUUUGACUGGGGCGGUCUCCUCCUAAAGAGUAACGGAGGAGCACGAAGGUUGGCUAAUCCUGGUCGGACAUCAGGAGGUUAGUGCAAUGGCAUAAGCCAGCUUGACUGCGAGCGUGACGGCGCGAGCAGGUGCGAAAGCAGGUCAUAGUGAUCCGGUGGUUCUGAAUGGAAGGGCCAUCGCUCAACGGAUAAAAGGUACUCCGGGGAUAACAGGCUGAUACCGCCCAAGAGUUCAUAUCGACGGCGGUGUUUGGCACCUCGAUGUCGGCUCAUCACAUCCUGGGGCUGAAGUAGGUCCCAAGGGUAUGGCUGUUCGCCAUUUAAAGUGGUACGCGAGCUGGGUUUAGAACGUCGUGAGACAGUUCGGUCCCUAUCUGCCGUGGGCGCUGGAGAACUGAGGGGGGCUGCUCCUAGUACGAGAGGACCGGAGUGGACGCAUCACUGGUGUUCGGGUUGUCAUGCCAAUGGCACUGCCCGGUAGCUAAAUGCGGAAGAGAUAAGUGCUGAAAGCAUCUAAGCACGAAACUUGCCCCGAGAUGAGUUCUCCCUGAGACUUAGAGUCUCCUGAAGGAACGUUGAAGACGACGACGUUGAUAGGCCGGGUGUGUAAGCGCAGCGAUGCGUUGAGCUAACCGGUACUAAUGAACCGUGAGGCUUAACCUUACA